rnacentral:misc_RNA from 1 species
GAGAAAAGAAAAGAAAACAGAGACAGAACGAGGGAGGGAAGGAGGGAGGGAGCUGUGGCAUUAAUGGGCUCCUCUUCUCCUCUUCCUCUCAUUAUUUUCUUUCUCGCGCUAUUGUUCGUGAUUCUCCUUGGUGCCUCUCAUGCCUCCACUCUCAAAGGUGUUGAUCCUGGAAAUCCAAUCAUAGAUGUCAUUCCAUCCUUCCUCAAUGGACGUUUGCCUAGCCGAAGUUUUAAAGAUGUUUUAUAUUGUGAGCGAGCU